rnacentral:lncRNA from 1 species
UUCACAAUAGAGGUUCAUGCUGCCCGGGGUUCCGAAUUAAGCCAUCUUAUGUUUCUCGUUAUAGAUGUAUACCGAACGAUGGACAUGUUCAGGUGUUGUAAGAAUUGUGUGAGUCAUCUAAUUUUCAAAUUACAACAUUAUGUUCCUCCAACUCACCUAAUCAUAGUUUAUACAAAGAUAACUCCAAGCCUUAUAGGAAGAUUAAUAAAUAUGCAAAUUAGAAUAAAAAUGAGGCAUUCUAGUGACAAACCUGAUUAUUUUCUUUAUUGGUAGGAUUUCUCUUAAACCUUAUAACUUAUUUAAAAUUACUUCAUUAUAAAUUAGGUACUAUGCCUACUACAUAAAAAAUUAACAUAGAGGCUGCAGCAAAAAUCCAAAAUCAAGUAGGACCUGAGAGACACUAAGCUUAAUUGUUUCUGGCAAUAAAGCUAGAACCACUUGUCCUGAAAGAGAUCUAAAUAGGCAAAAUAACAAAGUUGUGGUGUACGCAUGAUUUUAUCAUAUCAAACAAGUCAGGUGGUAAGCUGAGUUGUUAACCUAAAUUCCGAGAAUUUUACAUUAUUGAAUGUUGUUGUAUAGACAAAUCAUGACUUAAAUAAAGCUACUCGGCGUGAAACAAACCUUCGUCAAGCCUUGGAGAGAGAUAUAUCAUCCCUACGCCGCGACCAUUGCUCUUCAAGAUAAGCUGCCUGAGAUCAGACACAUCUAGAAAAUAAUAGGGCAACAACACAAAGCAAGUCUCCUCUAAACUCAUACUUUUAAUAUACAACACCCAUGAUGGAGUCUCUGAAUCGCAAUAAUGGAGCGCUAGAAAUUGAGUUAGAGCUAACUUGAACAGCGGCGGCAACUCAUGGAUUCCUUCAAAACAGCAGGAAAUGAAAGACCUUAGACCUGACGAGGUGUGAGUCCUGAUGAUGUAGCCUGAAAAUAGUGAGGUCUUACUUAAUCUUUAUGGAAGAAAGUGGAAGAAGCUAAUUAUGGUUAAUCUAGUGAUUGUUGAUUUUUUUCUUGAUUAUAUGCAUCAAAUUCCUAGUUGUUUUCGAAGGAAACAAAAGUAACACCUUAUAUGAUAAGAAAUAGUAAGAGAUUUGAGCUCCUCUUCUGCUAGCACCCUCAGUUCUUAGACCUGAUACUUUCUACAGUUUACAACCAUGCAAGGUGGCUUGAGACACUUGAGACAUGUUUCACAUAUUCUAGGAUUCAUUUUUGAAUGAACUUCUGUAGAAUGGUAGUGCCAUACUUCUGCACAUAAAUUCACAAGUUAGCUAGCAGUAGGAUCAGUGAUAAGCUAAAUUAGAUCGAACUUGCACUAUUGAACAGUUCAAAACUGAAGAGUAAUACAUUUUCUGAUGCUUCUACUUUUCCCUGUUCAACCAUUUGUAGUUCAAUGUGCAGAGGCCUCUGCGUUCAUGGCAAAAGGAACUUCAUGGCGGUGUCCAAGAGGCACGUGGAUCACUCAAUGGCGAUGUGCGGCGGCAACCAAGAUAUAUGCAACAACAACCAAGGUUUUAAACAACAUCUUCAAUGUACUUUGCAAACAGUGGAUCCUUUUCCCUCUCAGAAUACUUCUUAGUCCACCCUCUUGUUGAACAUCACAUAAACGAGAUCAUUCAACUUCUUCCGACCUAAUCUGGUUCUCUUCUUUAAGUGUAACUACAACAUAAAUAUAGUUGUACAUGCCCCUGAUUGUGAUGAAUACAACUGUUACGAUGAUUGACGACAUCAUACAGGAAGGACAAUAUGUGUUCACACAAGAUCAAAAUAUUAUGUAUUGUUUGAGAUGUUGUCAAAUGAGUAAUUUUGUUUGAAAUGUUUUUUAGCUAGUCUAUAAUCCAAAGUCGAGCUCCUUGUCUACUGUAACUGUAAGUAUUACUAACAUGGCAGUAGGGAAAUCUUGCUUCCUUUGUAUAAACAAAAGCAAAGCUUAUAGGCUUGAGUGUAGUCUGCUGCUGGACUAAAGGCCGUAGAGCUGGGGAGCGGACUGGCCAGACUGUAUGAGCUGGACUGUCGGAGGCGGAGCAUGGUGGCCAGCAAGGGGAUGGGGGCAUCAAGCAAGGCUGACCUUGACCGUCGUCGUCCUACUACGGUAUUGCCGGAGGAAGGGCGCCACCGUGUCAGCCCUCACCAGUCGGUCGUUGACCAGGGAAGGGAGUCCAACAGAGGUGGCCGCCCUGCUUCCUCAACGACUGAGAGAGGGUGGAGGCAGUGGGUGGAGGGUAGGGGAUUUGCGCCAUACAGCCAUUCGGUGAGCCUUGCUCUGCCCCUCUCUCCAUCCGACGUCUGCCUCCCCGUAUCUUUCCGCUCCAGAGCAGCAGAUCUGCGCCCGUGUCGAGAUCUAGCACAGACGAAGAAUCGACAAUCAGCGUGCCUCCCUCUUCCUUUCUCCUUCUGUCUCAUGCUCUCUCUCAACUUACUCUUUGCUCUCUCAGGAAGCAAGCUGGCCACCCUGGACUUGAAGCCGCCACCGCCGGCCGCCCCGCCCCCCAGCUGCCGGCAGCGGGCACGUAUGGUCUCUGGAUAACAUAGAAGACGCUGACC